rnacentral:rRNA from 1 species
AUUUCUAGCUUGCUAGAAGAUGACGAGCGGCGGACGGGUGAGUAAUACUUAGGAAUCUACCUAGUAGUGGGGGAUAGCACGGGGAAACUCGUAUUAAUACCGCAUACGACCUACGGGAGAAAGGGGGCAGUUUACUGCUCUCGCUAUUAGAUGAGCCUAAGUCGGAUUAGCUAGAUGGUGGGGUAAAGGCCUACCAUGGCGACGAUCUGUAGCUGGUCUGAGAGGAUGAUCAGCCACACCGGGACUGAGACACGGCCCGGACUCCUACGGGAGGCAGCAGUGGGGAAUAUUGGACAAUGGGGGAAACCCUGAUCCAGCCAUGCCGCGUGUGUGAAGAAGGCCUUUUGGUUGUAAAGCACUUUAAGCAGUGAAGAAGACUCCGUGGUUAAUACCCACGGACGAUGACAUUAGCUGCAGAAUAAGCACCGGCUAACUCUGUGCCAGCAGCCGCGGUAAUACAGAGGGUGCAAGCGUUAAUCGGAAUUACUGGGCGUAAAGGGAGCGUAGGUGGCUCGAUAAGUCAGAUGUG